GACUGAUGCAGGGAGAGAGACGGGAGUUUGUUGAAAGGGCGGUUGCCUCUCUCUCCUCUGUCCAUGAUUUCUCCAUCGGAUUUGAUAACAGCCCUUUCGUAUUUCUCCCUUCAAUGAAGAAGAAAGAAGCAAUAGAAAAGGGAAAUUAUUAAAGGAAAAUGGGAAUUAUUUCACUUGGGAAUCCCAGAAAAGGUUGUGGAUGACUGAAACACAACCUUGUUCUAUGGUUUUUUCCAGUGAUCUUUAAUUCUUUUUAUGAAACCAAAGCUACGGAUUAUUAUUAUUAUUAUUAUUUUUGAAAAUGUUGAGAGGCUGUGAUGAUAUGGCUUUCUGUGUUCCUCUCCUUCUGGGCUACUGAUUUGGGGCAUUUGGGAGGAUCCGAUCCGUAUCUUGGCGGGGCGAUCCGGCAUCUUCCCGGCUAUCGCAGCCAUGGCGGUGUCGGCUUCCCAUUGCCCGGUAGAAACACAGAUCUGAGCCUCAACAGAUGAGUUUCCUUCAAAGUUUUGGCUGAGAAAUUGAAGUUUUAGCCUUAUGUUUGCUCUUAUCUGGUUAAUCCAUGAUUUGAUUUUGCCCUAUUUUCCUAAUGCUAAUACUACUGCUGUUUCUGUAGCAUCAUAUCUUCUUUUCAUCAAUGGGGAACUAGGAUUUGCAGCCAGCUGGGGUUGUGCUUUUUAUUUCCAAAAAGAGAAUAGUUCAAAUGGUGUAUGGGACUAUGGUGGUAAUCAACAAGCAAGAAGGUUAUUGAGAUGAUGAGGCCCAUUCAUGGCAGGGCAACCCAGCCAGGCUUGUCUGAAUUUUCACAAAGGAGAGAGAGAUUUGCAGCCAUGGGUGGUGGUGUCAACUGUCAAGUGCUCCACUGCCUGACUAGAUAUCUGAGCCUCAUUAUUUUAAUGUUAUUUUGGGUUUCAGUUAUCUUUUGUAGAUUGUGUGUGAUUUGCACUGCACUGGAAAUCACAGACUGAAACCAUAAAAACUACGGAGUAUUUGACAAUCAAGCAUUGAUCCUUCUUCCCAACAUCUUCCUCUUAGUUAUACACAGAAGAAAUGAGAUUUAAUAAAUAUAUAUAUCAUUGCCUCAUUAGUAGUAGUUACGAGUUUAUCUCCCUUUAAUCACCCAAGUCCCAGUAUAUAUAGGAGAGGAAGGUUCAGUUAAGAAUAGGUUCUCUAGUGAUGAGAAAAUGAGUUUAGUUUAGUUUUGUAAUAAUACAAAA